AGCAGCCGCGGUAAUUCCAGCUCCAAUAGCGUAUAUUAAAGUUGUUGCAGUUAAAAAGCUCGUAGUUGAAUUUCGGGAUUAGUACGUCGGUCGUGCCUUCGGUACGUACUGGUGUUACUGAUUCCUACCUUCUGACGAACCAUCAUGUCAUUAAUUUGGUGUGGCGGGGAAUCAGGACUGUUACUUUGAAAAAAUUAGAGUGUUUAAAGCAGGCUCGCGCUUGAAUACAUUAGCAUGGAAUAAUGAAAUAGGACGUUGACCCUAUUUUGUUGGUUUCUAGGAUUGACGUAAUGAUUAAUAGGGAUAGUUGGGGGCAUUAGUAUUCAAUUGUCAGAGGUGAAAUUCUUGGAUUUAUUGAAGACUAACUAUUGCGAAAGCAUUUGCCAAGGAUGUUUUCAUUAAUCAAGAACGAAAGUUAGGGGAUCGAAGACGAUCAGAUACCGUCGUAAUCUUAACCAUAAACUAUGCCGACUAGGAAUCGGGCGACGUUAUUUCAUGACUCGCUCGGCGCCUUAUG
rnacentral:rRNA from 1 species